UACGAAGGGUGCAAACGUUGCUCGGAAUCAUUGGGCGUAAAGCGCACGUAGGCGGCUUCGCAAGUCGGAUGUGAAAUCCCUAGGCUCAACCAAGGACGUGCAUCCGAAACUGCAGAGCUUGAGUACAGAAGAGGAUCGCGGAAUUCCCGGUGUAGAGGUGGAAUUCGUAGAUAUCGGGAGGAACACCAGUGGCGAAGGCGGCGAUCUGGGCUGAUGCUGACGCUGAGGUGCGAAAGCGUGGGGAGCAAACAGG
rnacentral:rRNA from 1 species